AUAUAUUUAAAUAAAUAAAUAUAAAUUAGAAUAUAUAUAUUAUUUAAAUAAUAUAUUAGAAAUAAAUAUAAAUAUAAUUUUUUUCAAUCAUUAAAUCAAGCUUUUAUUUUCUCAGAAAACCACAGAAGCCCUUAAAGCUUCUCUUAUGCUGACAGCAGCCGGUUUAUAAGUGCUUCUCAUUACAAGUUUGUAAAGAUAUAAUAAACCCAAACCCACAGACAGAGUAAACACGAGAUCAUGAGCUGCUUGCAUGUAAAUGAACACAGUGACACGCUUUUCUCUGAAACACAAGUGUAUCUGUGUCCCUGCAGCACAGAAGCAGUCAUCAGUAGCACAGCUAUAUUUGUAGCAAUAGACAACAAUACAUUGUAUGAGUCACAAUUAUACAUUUCUCUUUUAUGCCAAAAAUCAUUAGGAUAUUAAGUAAAGAUCAUGUUCCAUGAAGAUAUUUAGUAAAUUUCCUACCGUAAAUAUAUCAAAACUUAAUUUUUGAUUAGUAAUAGGCAUUGCUAAGAACUUCAUUUGAACAACUUUAAAGAUGAUUUUCUCAGUAUUUAGAUUUUGUUGCACCCUCAGAUUCCAGAUCUCCAUACAUCAAUGGAAAGCUUAUUUAUUCAGCUUUCAGAUAAUGAAUAAAUCUCAAUUUUUUUUUUCUUUUUUUUAAAAAGUACCCUUAUAACUCGUUUGUGGUCCAGGGUCACUUAUAUUAAUUAAUUAAAUUCGAUAAUUGCAAUAAUCCAUUGAUUUUAUUCUGAUUAAUCAUGCAGCCCUAGGUUGGAAUGACUAUGAAAAGUUCAUGUUUUCAUCAGCUUGUGUUUGUGUAUGAAUGCUGUAUUACUGUCAGUCCACAGUCCCCCGGCGAGCAGCAGCAGUCCAUCUCGUUCCCCGGCACGGGCCCCGUCUCACGCCGCCUCCACUCGGCCCCUGAGGCCCCUGAGCUCCGUCGCCGCCGCCGUCACGCCUCCGAACGCCAGCGCGGCGCAUCUGAACAGAGCGGAGCCAUCCUCACCUGCACACGCAGACGCAGCUCUGCACAAACUCGAGGACAAGAAGCUGGAGAAGAAAGAGAAGAAGAGCAGCGGUCUCCUCAAGCUUCUCUCCGGAGCCGCAGCAAAAAGGAAGUCUCGCUCUCCGCCGUCCGUGUCUCCGACGCACGAGCCGUCCGCUCACAGCCGAGCCGGAUCCUGCCCUAUCGAGAGCGAGAUGCAGGGUGCGAUGGGAAUGGAGCCGCUGCACAGAAAGUCCGGAUCGCUGGACCUCAACUUCUCCGUGUCUCCGCCGGCACGACAGCCCUGCUCCUCCUCGCCGCUCGCCGUCCGGCCCGAGCCCAAGCCUCUGUCCCGAGAGAGGUGAGUCCAGCUUACAAUAUUCACCCCAUUCAAGAUCUAAAUGCACAUUUCAAUGCAUGAAUUUAAAGGCUCAUGAAACCCUAAAACACAUUUUUGGAGAUGUUAACGUACAGUAUAUACAGGUUGCACAUCACUGAAAACAACAACAGCACUCAUUAUGUCUAUUAUUAGUAUAUGUGUCCCUGCAGCACAGAAGCAGUCAUCAGUAGCACAGGUAUAUUUGUAGUAAUAGACAACAAUACAUUGUAUGGGUCACAAUUAUACAUUUCUCUUUUAUGACAAAAAUCAUUAGGAUAUUAAGUAAAGAUCAUCUUCCAUGAAGAUAUUUUGUAAAUUCCCUACCGUAAAUAUAUCAAAACUUAAUUUUUGAUUAGUAAUAUACAUUGCUAAGAACUUCAUUUGAACAACUUUAAAGUGCCCCUAUUAUGGGUAAUGAAAGGUUCAUAUUUUGGUUUUGGGAGUCCCCAACAACAGGCUGACAUGCAUGCAAGGUCAAAAAAUAUGCAUUUUUUUUUUUCCUUUUUUGCUCAAUGACUUUCAGAUGAUGCAUGAAUCUCAUUUUUAAAAAACUGACCCUCAUGACUGGUUUAGUGCUCCAGGGUCACAUAUACACAUUUGAAUGCAUGAAUUUAAGACAUGUAGCAAGCAUUUUUAAUGCAAUUUUAUGCAUUUUAGUUAAAUAAAUAAAAGAAAAAUCAAUGCA
ensembl:lncRNA